rnacentral:rRNA from 1 species
GUCUUUUUGAAAAUAAUUUAAAGUCAAAUCUGCUCAAUGAAAAUUUUAAAUAGCUGCAGUAAUUUAACUGUACAAAGGUAGCAAAAUCAAUAGUUUAUUAAUUAUAAACUGGUAUGAAGGAUUAAAUGAAAUAUAAAUUGUCUCAAUAUUAUAAAUUUAAAUUUCUUUUUUUUUAAAAAAGAAAAAAUAAUUUUAAAAGACGAGAAGACCCUAUAGAUUUUUAUAAAAAUUAAAUUUUAAUUUAUAAUUAUAAAAAGUUAUUUAAUUUUUAUUUAAUUGGGGUGAUUAUUAAAUUUAAUAAACUUUAAUAAAUUUAUACAUUAAUUUAUGAGUAAUAUUUUUUUAAUUUAAAAAUAUAAAUUAAAAUACCUUAGGGAUAACAGCGUAAUUUUUUUUGAGAUUAAUAUUGAUAAAAAAGUUUGC